rnacentral:tRNA from 1 species
GCGCCAUUAGCUCAGCUGGCAGAGCAACUGACUCUUAAUCAGUGGGUCCAAGGUUCGAAUCCUUGAUGGCGCACCA